rnacentral:rRNA from 1 species
GAUGAACGCUGGCGGCGUGCCUAACACAUGCAAGUCGAGCGAGAAGUUUUGGAAGUAACCUUCGGGGAGCAGAAGAAACGGAAAGCGGCGGACGGGUGAGUAACGCGUGGGUAACCUGGCCUAUACAAUGGGAUAGCCACUGGAAACGGUGAUUAAUACCAUAUAAGAUCUUAACUUCGCAUGAAGAAGAGACCAAAGAUUUAUCGGUAUAGGAUGGGCCCGCGUCUGAUUAGCUAGUUGGUAGGGUAAUGGCCUACCAAGGCAACGAUCAGUAGCCGACCUGAGAGGGUGAUCGGCCACAUUGGAACUGAGACACGGUCCAAACUCCUACGGGAGGCAGCAGUGGGGAAUAUUGCACAAUGGGCGCAAGCCUGAUGCAGCAACGCCGCGUGAGUGAAGAA